rnacentral:rRNA from 1 species
UACGGAGGGUGCAAGCGUUGUCCGGAAUCACUGGGCGUAAAGGGUGCGUAGGCGGCGCGGUAAGUCGGGGUGUGAAAUCUCGGAGCUUAACUCCGAAACUGCAUUCGAUACUGCCGUGCUUGAGGACUGGAGAGGAGACUGGAAUUUACGGUGUAGCGGUGAAAUGCGUAGAUAUCGUAAGGAAGACCAGUGGCGGAAGGCGGGUCUCUGGACAGUUCCUGACGCUGAGGCACGAAGGUCAGGGGAGCAAACGGG